rnacentral:rRNA from 1 species
GAUGAACGCUGGCGGCGUGCCUAAUACAUGCAAGUCGAGCGAACAGAUGAGGAGCUUGCUCCUCUGACGUUAGCGGCGGACGGGUGAGUAACACGUGGAUAACCUACCUAUAAGACUGGGAUAACUUCGGGAAACCGGAGCUAAUACCGGAUAAUAUAUUGAACCGCAUGGUUCAAUAGUGAAAGACGGUUUUGCUGUCACUUGUAGAUGGAUCCGCGCCGGAUUAGCUAGUUGGUAAGGUAACGGCUUACCAAGGCGACGAUGCGUAGCCGACCUGAGAGGGUGAUCAGCCACACUGGAACUGAGACACGGUCCAGACUCCUACGGGAGGCAGCAGUAGGGAAUCUUCCGCAAUGGGCGAAAGCCUGACGGAGCAACGCCGCGUGAGUGAUGAAGGUCUUCGGAUCGUAAAACUCUGUUAUUAGGGAAGAACAAAUGUGUAAGUAACUAUGCACGUCUUGACGGUACCUAAUCAGAAAGCCACGGCUAACUACGUG